UUGGGGUUGGGAUGCUGUGAAUGCUAGCUGUUGGCACGAUAGUUGCCUCUAUGUAUAUUAGUGUUUGUAAGGCCUACUAUCGAAGUGGUUCUUUGGGGUAGACAUUUGAUUAUAAAAGUUUUGCCUCUUUGAAAUUUUAGAGGCCAAGUGCAUAAAUACGAGUUUUGGAGUAGCAGAUGUGCUACUUCAGAGUGGUAGCUGCGCUGCCCAUUACUGCUGGCCGCUUGCCAUCGCGUCAUACAAACCUCACGAAGGAAGUCUCUUUGUGUUUGGCAAUGUGCCUACAUAUGUAUGAAUGCAUUAGAUGAAAACCAAACGCCGUUAUGCCUCCGCUGUUAAUUGGAUUUUGUUUGGAA